rnacentral:rRNA from 1 species
AGAGUUUGAUCCUGGCACAGGACGAACGCUGGCGGCGUGCCUAACGCAUGCAAGUCGAGCGGAGAUCGCAGUAAUGUAAUCUUAGCGGCAGACGGGUGAGUAACGCGUGGGAACAUACCCUCCGGUUCGGAAUAGCUCAGGGAAACUUGGAUUAAUACCGGAUACGGCUGAGAGGCGAAAGAUUUAUCGCCGGAGGAUUGGCCCGCGUUCGAUUAGCUUGUUGGUGAGGUAACGGCUUACCAAGGCGAUGAUCGACAGCUGGUCUGAGAGGAUGAUCAGCCACAUUGGGACUGAGACACGGCCCAAACUCCUACGGGAGGCAGCAGUGGGGAAUAUUGGACAAUGGGCGCAAGCCUGAUCCAGCCAUGCCGCGUGAGUGAUGACGGCCUUAGGGUUGUAAAGCUCUUUCGCUCGGGACGAUAAUGACGGUACCGAGAUAAGAAGCCCCGGCUAACUUCGUGCCAGCAGCCGCGGUAAUACGAAGGGGGCUAGCGUUGUUCGGAAUUACUGGGCGUAAAGCGCGUGUAGGCGGGUCUUUAAGUCAGGGGUGAAAUGCCAAGGCUCAACCUUGGAACUGCCUUUGAUACUGGAGAUCUUGAGUCCGGGAGAGGUGAGUGGAAUUGCGAGUGUAGAGGUGAAAUUCGUAGAUAUUCGCAAGAACACCAGUGGCGAAGGCGGCUCACUGGCCCGGAACUGACGCUGAGACGCGAAAGCGUGGGGAGCAAACAGGAUUAGAUACCCUGGUAGUCCACGCUGUAAACGAUGGAUGCUAGCCGUUGGGGAGCUUGCUCUUCAGUGGCGCAGCUAACGCUUUAAGCA